GGACAUGAGUUUGAGUCAACUCUGGGAGGCCUGGCGUGCUACAGUCCAUGGAGUCGCAAAGAGUCCGUCAUGACUGAGCGACUGAUCUCAACUGAACUGAAUCCAUUCUGCCACAUGAUGGGCUUACUGCAUCAGCAAUAUCCACCCUGACCUUGUGAUUAAGCAAGAAAUCCAUAGCAGAUAAACGAUUUGUCCCCACUGCAAAAUGCAAGGCUUUGAGGUUCAUCUGAGGAAACACAAUGUGUAUCUUCAGUCAUCUGAUUGCUAUUUCGCCUCCUUAAGAUUCCUGGUUCUUGAAGUAGCCAUAAGUUUUUUUUUUAACCUGGUGUUCGUGUUUUGAUUAUCUACUCUUUGCCUUGUCUUUAUUUAUUUUUUUGUUUUGAUUUUGAGAAUAAUUUAAUACAUUAACUUUGACAUACAACUAUAUUCUAAUGUUAGUUUUAAAUGUAAAGAAACAGAUCCUUACAAGACCAAAAUAACCCACAGGCCAUGAGAUUGGUUUUUUGUUUUUCCUUUUUUGUUUCAACAGAUGUGCACCACAAUGGUUCCACAUGUAAGGCAAAUGCCGUGAAUAUGAAAGCUACAGUUUACCACACAUCUAGAACCCAGGGGAGGUGAAUUAGAUGGAAGUGGUAGUCAUUCUAAUUAAACAAUCAGGAAACAUCAUGACAAGUUGGUUUGCAGCAUCAAAAGUGUCCAUUUAAGUGUCUUUUUUCUUAAUGAUCAGAGGUCCCACGUUGUCUCCAGUUUCUUCAUUGUGUUUUGUGUGAGAUCCAUCACAGAGUGGGAACUUGUAUGCUGGACGUCAUACUCACGGCGCCGACGCUUGCAAGGGUGUGCACAGGACACUGAGCACAAACCGGCUCGCGCGGACCUAUUCUUUGCCCUGUCUUUAAAAGCAGUGAGAACUGUAUCCAGCAUAAUCUGACAUUUCUCUACUAAUAUAUAACACCAGAGAAUUUAGCAACCAACUGGAGUGUAUACAGCAAGCUGAAAUCCAUUGCAUAACCUAUGACUGAUUAUAACAAUAUAAUAGAUUUCAACUAGAGUGUAACAGCUGUAUUUUUCCUGUGUGCAAUCAUUAAUAAUGGUAGAAUAUACUGAUAAUGCAUAACAGAAAUUCUCCUAGUUCAGUCCAUGUAUGGCUCUUUCCCUUGUAGUUUUUUGGACUGUGAAUUGUAUUGAAUCAAACAAAUCAAGAAAGAGAAAGAAAGAAACAAAAAGAAAGAAGGGAGGGAGAGAAGGAAGGAAAGA
rnacentral:lncRNA from 1 species